GAUAUAAAUAGCAGUCAUAUGCGUCAAAUGCCUGUGCUUCAAAUAUAGAAGAUUCUUCCAGUUGUUUGUUUUCCAAAUUUAGUACAAAUAAAAAUGCAUUAAUGAACUAUUCCCCUUGGGGUUUGAAUGUCUAGGCUUUUUACGAAAUAUAUAGAAUGUUGUAUUUGAAGAAAUCGCAAAGAAUGAGCUAUUUAUUAACUUUGAUUACAUCAAUGCCAUAUUCGAUAUUAUGCAUUCCAUGUAAAAGUUGUAAGUUUAACAGCAUGCUCUUCCAACCAUAUAAGAUUAGUGAGUCAUAAGGUACAUUGCCAUUUUAUGAUUUCUGGAAAGUGCAGAUACAUGACUCACAUGAAUAUACGUUACUUGUUAAUUGUUAUGUUGGUGACAAUUAAAUACAAAUUUGCUUGAGGUGUUGCUACAUAUUUUUGGAUUUAUGGUUGUGAUAUGCACUCGUGAAUUUUAGAUUAGCAACCAUACCUAAGUACUAAUUUCCGGUGACCUUUCAUUUGCAUGGAAUUUUAUUGAGUGAAUUACCCUAAUGGUCACUGAACUUUGCAAAAAGUUUUCACAGGGUCACUGAAUUUUAAAAAUCAUCAAAUUCAUCACUGAACUUUGCGAAAGGUUUUUAC
rnacentral:lncRNA from 1 species